rnacentral:ncRNA from 1 species
CAGCUGGGGGUGCUCCUGCCUUAGAUGGGCGGGGCUGAGAAAAAGACCCUUUUGACCUGAUGCGGGUAAUGCCGCCGAAGGGAAGCUUC